GACGAACCGUGCGAACGUUGUUCGGAAUCAUUGGGCUUAAAGGGCGCGUAGGCGGGCCCGCAAGUCAGGGGUGAAAUCCCACGGCUCAACCGUGGAAGUGCCUCUGAUACUGCGGGCCUCGAGGGGGGUAGGGGCGUGCGGAACUUCCGGUGGAGCGGUGAAGUGCGUAGAUAUCGGAAGGAACACCGGUGGCGAAAGCGGCGCGCUGGACCCCUUCUGACGCUGAGGCGCGAAAGCCAGGGGAGCAAACGGG
rnacentral:rRNA from 1 species